rnacentral:rRNA from 1 species
GGCCGAGCGGCGCUACCUGCAGUCGACGAACCUUCGGGUUAGUGGCGGACGGGUGAGUAACGCGUGAGAAUCUGCCCUCAGGAGGGGGAUAACGGUUGGAAACGACCGCUAAUACCCCAUAUGCCUACUGGUGAAAUGAAUUUCGCCUGAGGAUGAGCUCGCGUCUGAUUAGCUAGUUGGUGAGGUAAUGGCUCACCAAGGCUUCGAUCAGUAGCUGGUCUGAGAGGAUGAUCAGCCACACUGGGACUGAGACACGGCCCAGACUCCUACGGGAGGCAGCAGUGGGGAAUUUUCCGCAAUGGGCGAAAGCCUGACGGAGCAACGCCACGUGAGGGAUGAAGGCCUCUGGGCUGUAAACCUCUUUUCUCAAGGAAGAAGAUAUGACGGUACUUGAGGAAUAAGCCACGGCUAAUUCCGUGCCAGCAGCCGCGGUAAUACGGGAGUGGCAAGCGUUAUCCGGAAUUAUUGGGCGUAAAGCGUCCGCAGGCGGCUUUUCAAGUCUGCUGUUAAAACGUGGAGCUUAACUCCAUCAUGGCAGUGGAAACUGAAAGGCUUGAGUAUGGUAGGGGCAGAGGGAAUUCCCGGUGUAGCGGUGAAAUGCGUAGAUAUCGGGAAGAACACCAGUGGCGAAGGCGCUCUGCUGGGCCAUUACUGACGCUCAUGGACGAAAGCCAGGGGAGCGAAAGGGAUUAGAUACCCCUGUAGUCCUGGCCGUAAACGAUGAACACUAGGUGUCGGGGGAAUCGACCCCUUCGGUGUCGUAGCUAACGCGUUAAGUGUUCCGCCUGGGGAGUACGCACGCAAGUGUGAAACUCAAAGGAAUUGACGGGGGCCCGCACAAGCGGUGGAG